AACAUUGUUAGAUUUGCAUUGCUAAUUUGCUUUCAAUUGAUUUGGCAAAGGUAAUGAAUUUUGAUCAUUUACUAGCCACACCUCUGCGAAUGAAAGGAAUAGAAAGGUUUUAUCAAAGUGACUGCGAUUUUCUUGGUACAGAACAUUUUUUACCCUGGGAAUGAGCUGCCACAAAGGAUGAUGUAUCAAAAUAACUGUGGAUAUUCUCUGAAUUGGUCUUCAUCAUCCAAACAACA